rnacentral:misc_RNA from 1 species
UUGGAGGGCAAGUCUGGUGCCAGCAGCCGCGGUAAUUCCAGCUCCAAUAGCGUAUAUUAAAGUUGUUGCAGUUAAAAAGCUCGUAGUUGAAUUUCGGGGUCAGUAGGUUGGUCGUGCCUAUGGUAUGUACUGGCUUUACUGAUUCCUCCUUCUUGAAGAACUGUAAUGUCAUUAAUUUGGUGUUGCAGGGAAACAGGACUGUUACUUUGAAAAAAUUAGAGUGUUUAAAGCAGGCUAACGCUUGAAUACAUUAGCAUGGAAUAAUGAAAUAGGACGUUCGAUCCUAUUUUGUUGGUUUCUAGGAUUGACGUAAUGAUUAAUAGGGAUAGUUGGG